UACAGAGGUCCCGAGCGUUGUUCGGAUUCAUUGGGCGUAAAGGGCUCGUAGGCGGCCAACUAAGUCAGACGUGAAAUCCCGUCGGCUUAACCGGGGAACUGCGUCUGAUACUGGAUGGCUUGAGUUCGGGAGAGGGAUGUGGAAUUCCAGGUGUAGCGGUGAAAUGCGUAGAUAUCUGGAGGAACACCGGUGGCGAAGGCGGCAUCCUGGACCGACACUGACGCUGAUGGAGCGAAAAGCCAGGGGAGCAAACGGGG
rnacentral:rRNA from 1 species